GUGGGGAAUCUUGCGCAAUGGGCGAAAGCCUGACGCAGCCAUGCCGCGUGAAUGAUGAAGGUCUUAGGAUUGUAAAAUUCUUUCACCGGGGACGAUAAUGACGGUACCCGGAGAAGAAGCUCCGGCUAACUUCGUGCCAGCAGCCGCGGUAAUACGAAGGGGGCUAGCGUUGCUCGGAAUUACUGGGCGUAAAGGGCGCGUAGGCGGACAGCUUAGUCAGAGGUGAAAGCUCAGGGCUCAACCUUGGAAUUGCCUUUGAUACUGGCUGUCUUGAGUGUGGGAGAGGUGAGUGGAACUCCGAGUGUAGAGAUGAAAUUCGUAGAUAUUCGGAAGAACACCAGUGGCGAAGGCGACUCACUGGCCCAAUACUGACGCUGAGGCGCGAAAGCGUGGGGAGCAAACAGGAUUAGAAACCCGUGUAGUCC
rnacentral:rRNA from 1 species